GACGAACGUUGGCGGCGUGCUUAACACAUGCAAGUCGAACGGAAAGGCCCUGCUUUUGUGGGGUGCUCGAGUGGCGAACGGGUGAGUAACACGUGAGUAACCUGCCCUUGACUUUGGGAUAACUUCAGGAAACUGGGGCUAAUACCGGAUAGGAGCUCCUGCUGCAUGGUGGGGGUUGGAAAGUUUCGGCGGUUGGGGAUGGACUCGCGGCUUAUCAGCUUGUUGGUGGGGUAGUGGCUUACCAAGGCUUUGACGGGUAGCCGGCCUGAGAGGGUGACCGGCCACAUUGGGACUGAGAUACGGCCCAGACUCCUACGGGAGGCAGCAGUGGGGAAUAUUGCACAAUGGGCGGAAGCCUGAUGCAGCAACGCCGCGUGCGGGAUGACGGCCUUCGGGUUGUAAACCGCUUUCGCCUGUGACGAAGCGUGAGUGACGGUAAUGGGUAAAGAAGCACCGGCUAACUACGUGCCAGCAGCCGCGGUGAUACGUAGGGUGCGAGCGUUGUCCGGAUUUAUUGGGCGUAAAGGGCUCGUAGGUGGUUGAUCGCGUCGGAAGUGUAAUCUUGGGGCUUAACCCUGAGCGUGCUUUCGAUACGGGUUGACUUGAGGAAGGUAGGGGAGAAUGGAAUUCCUGGUGGAGCGGUGGAAUGCGCAGAUAUCAGGAGGAACACCAGUGGCGAAGGCGGUUCUCUGGGCCUUUCCUGACGCUGAGGAGCGAAAGCGUGGGGAGCGAACAGGCUUAGAUACCCUGGUAGUCCACCCUGUAAACGGUGGGUACUAGGUGUGGGGUCCAUUCCACGGGUUCCGUGCCGUAGCUAACGCUUUAAGUACCCCGCCUGGGGAGUACGGCCGCAAGGCUAAAACUCAAAGGAAUUGACGGGGCCCCGCACAAGCGGCGGAGCAUGCGGAUUAAUUCGAUGCAACGCGUAGAACCUUACCUGGGUUUGACAUGGAUCGGGAGUGCUCAGAGAUGGGUGUGCCUCUUUUGGGGUCGGUUCACAGGUGGUGCAUGGCUGUCGUCAGCUCGUGUCGUGAGAUGUUGGGUUAAGUCCCGCAACGAGCGCAACCCUUGUUCACUGUUGCCAGCACGUUAUGGUGGGGACUCAGUGGAGACCGCCGGGGUCAACUCGGAGGAAGGUGGGGAUGACGUCAAGUCAUCAUGCCCCUUAUGUCCAGGGCUUCACGCAUGCUACAAUGGCUGGUACAGAGAGUGGCGAGCCUGUGAGGGUGAGCGAAUCUCGGAAAGCCGGUCUCAGUUCGGAUUGGGGUCUGCAACUCGACCUCAUGAAGUCGGAGUCGCUAGUAAUCGCAGAUCAGCAACGCUGCGGUGAAUACGUUCCCGGG
rnacentral:rRNA from 1 species